GAUGAACGCUGGCGGCGUGCCUAAUACAUGCAAGUCGAGCGAACAGACGAGGAGCUUGCUCCUCUGACGUUGGCGGCGGACGGGUGAGUAACACGUGGAUAACCUACCUAUAAGACUGGGAUAACUUCGGGAAACCGGAGCUAAUACCGGAUAAUAUAUUGAACCGCAUGGUUCAAUAGUGAAAGACGGUUUUGCUGUCACUUAUAGAUGGAUCCGCGCCGCAUUAGCUAGUUGGUAAGGUAACGGCUUACCAAGGCGACGAUGCGUAGCCGACCUGAGAGGGUGAUCGGCCACACUGGAACUGAGACACGGUCCAGACUCCUACGGGAGGCAGCAGUAGGGAAUCUUCCGCAAUGGGCGAAAGCCUGACGGGGCAACGCCGCGUGAGUGAUGAAGGUCUUCGGAUCGUAAAACUCUGUUAUUAGGGAAGAACAAAUGUGUAAGUAACUAUGCACGUCUUGACGGUACCUAAUCAGAAAGCCACGGCUAACUACGUG
rnacentral:rRNA from 1 species